AUGUUUGUUGUCGCUGUGAGGGAGCCCAGGGCCACUUGGAGGUGUCUGGCUGCCAGCCCCAACUGUGGUCUUGGGAGACAGCUGUCAUCAGCCUCCAGACAGGGCACUGUUCACAUACAUACCAUAGAGCUUCUGGAAGGGGCCCGCAGGAGGCAGGCGUGGCCAAGAAGGAGAAGGAGGGGAGAAUAAGGGAAGACCGAGAGGGGCUGCAGAAGAUGCAUUUGCUGCCAGGCAGAGAGUCCCAGGACCGGCUCUGCCCCUCCUGGUCUCUUCUCAGAUGAGAAAACAAUUCAUAAAAAGACAAUUCAGUAAUUUAAACUUCCCUCCGGAAGGAAUGAACAUUUCCAAGGCCUCAGGUUAAUAAGACUUAUUUCUCCUGUGGGUUAGGAACAACCUGUUUUCUUGCUCACACUUGAAGACUUCAACACAGCCCAAAUUAGACAUUUCUCCUGAAGACUCCCAUCCACCAAGAUCUCAAAUUACAAAAUCAGACCUAAAUGAGGCGCCUGGGAUUCUUAGAGGCCAUCACUGCAUAGAGGUGUCAAGAAGGAUGGUUACAGCCAAGCCUGGUACCCAGAUCUCACAUCUCCCGGAUUCCUCUCUCAGCUUCCUCGGCUUCUGCUAGGAUGGUCUGGCUUCACCUUUCUCGUUCUUGUCAUUACCAAUGAUGAGAAACAUCUGAAAGUAUAUGAAUAGUCAGAAAUAGAUUUGUAUAUCUCUAGAAAUCAUUUAGGUUCAAAGCCUAUUCCACUUCCACUAGGUCUUUGCAUAUCAUGAGAGUUUGAUUUUAGCCAGUCUUAUCAAUUUUAAAACUUCUAUUAUUAUGUAGAGAUGAUUAAUUAUUUAAAUGCUGCUUUCCAACUUAUUAAUGAAAUUGUGCAAUUCUUUAUCUGGAUCAGCUAUCAUGAUUACUAAUGAAGCCAGAAACUAAAAGACAGGAAAGAAACAGAGGAAAACGGAAGGAAAAAUAAGGUUUCGACCUUAUUUUUCACAUCACCACAAUCCCUUUCUUAGUCAUAAAUGGCAAGAUAAGAAAAAAACUAGAAAAGGACCUUUAUCAACAUCAGCAUCAGUAGAAGCAUUUCCUUCUUCCCUCUCUAGCCUGUGUGGUUUGCUCUUACAUCCUUAUGGAAGGGUUUGAUGAAUGAGGAAGUCAUAGGCUAUGUCUACCUAUAUGAGGAGCAUUAGCAUUUAAUAAGGUGCUAAAGUCUUAAACUGAAGGAAUAAAGGUCCACCUUGGAAUCUGGGGCAUCCUGGGGGAAGUGUGGGAGUAAGAGCCUAGCCAUAAGUGGAAACCCCACAGAUGAGGUGGUUCCAACCAGACUAAGGCUGGACCAAAGCUCUCCUGUGUAGACCCCUGUAUAGAGCACCCUUGACAUUAGUAACUCCAUCUUAGAAAAAGACUCCAUCUUACAUUUCAAAAGGCAUAAUGCCAAUGGGACCAGACAUUCACCUAACCAAUAGAGACUACACUGAACCAGACACAUCCUUUACUAUAAUCCCUCACCAGAGGACUCAAGGACUACAAGAAGAGCAGAACUUCACCAGUACAACACAGUCAUCUGACUAGACGUCAUCCUGCUGUCACUCGUGGUCAGUACCUGGCAUCUGCCCAAGCCAAGGACUCUCCCUUGCAAGGUAAUACAUGCAUGUGAUUCGAACAUUAAAUAAAUGUACAGUGAAAAGUGUCCCCUCCCAGUCUCCAUCACCAGGCUGUGACCUGAAAGAAGACAUUUGCCUUGCUCACGCUGCAGUCCCAGGAAUGUGAGAGAAUCACUCUCUGGGAAGGAGACCAUACAUUGUUGAUGAUAAGGACAAAGGUGGUGGUGGUGACAGCAGUGGUGCACGUAUGAAAUGGCCAGAGCUCGAAGAAGUUCAUGGCAAGAAGCGACAAGCUGCAAUCAAUGUAUGGACCCUGUAUGCACUCACUCAGGGUUACAGAAUGAAUUGUGUCCUUCCCCACAUUCAGAUGUUGAAACCCUCACCUCUAAUGUGACUGUGUUUUGAGAUAGGGCCUCUGAGGAAGUAAUUCAGGUUAAAGGAGGUCAGAGGAGUGGGGCCCUCAUCAUGGGAUGAGCGGCCUUGCAAGUGGAGAUACCAGCACUCGGUAUCUCCUCUCUGUCUCACUCUCCGCCAUGGAGGACACAGAGAGAAGGCGGCCACCUAUACGCCAAGAAGAAAGCCUGUACCUGGAACCAGAAUGGCUGAUGCCUUGCUCUUGGGCUUCUAGCCUCCAGAACUGUGAAAAAUA